GGCAGCGUGGUUUAAUGGUUUGAGCAUUGGACUGCAACUCUGGAGACUGGUGUUUGAUUCCCAGCUCAGCCA